CCCACAGCAACUUUCAAAAUAAGAUGCAUAAUUAGACAGGUUUCUUCUUCCCCUUAUCUGUUUAAUAAACAUAUUUCUUAGGUAUAUUUAUAGCUAUUUUUAUUUUGAGAAUGCUUUCAGAGAAGUGUUUAGAAUAAAUGAAUUAAGAAAUAAGUUUUUAUAAGAUACCUUUUAAGCCAUGAAGUUUUUCUUUCUUCUUUAUUAAGACCCCCCCCACAAAAAAAAAAAAAACACCAAAACCAAACAAACAAACAAACGAAAACCAGAAAAUGUACCUGCAUUUCUAUGACACACAGACAUAACUUUUAACUAGGCAGCUCAAGUAUAACUAAAAUUAAUACAGCAGAUACAAAAAAUACAUUUUAUCUGAAACCAUUAACAAAACAAACAAACAAAAAGAACACCAAACCACAGGAGAAAUACUCAGGUAGUUAAAUGAAGUGCAGGGAGCUAGGAAGAGAGAACUAGCCAUCCUACAUUGUAACUAUAAGAAGAAUCAUUACAGCAUUAACAGCAGUAUAGAUACACAUAGUAACUACCUCAGUUUGGCAUAAUAACAACUAGAACAGGAAAAAAAAAAAAGUAGUGAAAUGAGAAUAAGAAAAAUGAAGAAAGGAGACAGUUUUAAUUAAUUAAAUUUGUUUGUUCUAUAUAUAAAAAUACUACCUUACCUACUCAGAAAAUAGAAACAUCCUCCACAACUCAUCUUGUUUCAGACCUACUAAGGACAUAAGCAUGCUCACAGCAACUAUCCAUUAGCUGCAGCCAGCUCAGCUUCAGCUAAUUUAAAGAAUCACAAGCACAGCAGUAUGAAAUCAACAGAACUUAAGACAACUGAAAGUACUUCAACUGUGUAAGAGUCCAGGGUUGUACAACACAGGAAGAAACUUCUGGCUACUUAAAUGGCUACUUUGCGUGCUGACCAGCUUCUAACCAGCUUCUUACCCAUUGAAAUGUGAACUUGGGAUGACAACUCUUGAGCUGAAAAUGUUAGCAUAUAGGAGAGAUUGCAAAAGCAGAUCUGCUGUUUUGCACAAAUGACUUCCUUAUCAGCUUACCAUACCAGUUUAUAACUGAACAGAAACGGAAUGAAGGCCAAUCUGUGAGGAAAGAUGGAUGGCUCAGAACAGAAUCAAAGUACGUCUUUCAUCAAGCAGCUGGUCCUGCCCCAUCAGUGCUUUAUCCAAUUAAGAAAGCUCAAAGUGAGCUGAACUUCACUAGAAGUAUUCCUUUAAUAAUUACUACGUCACAUGAUAUUCCUAGUAGCUUAGAAGCCGCAAGUAUCAGCUUAAUGUGUUACAAAAUCAGGAGCUGCUUUAUUAAAGUCUUUAGAUCAAGGCAACUUUUCACAAAUCACUCUGGUGCUUCAGAAAAAUACCCAUCACAGGCUGCUGGGCAAAGAGGCUGAAGAAUCUCCCCAAAAAGCAUUUGAAAGAUCAUUCUGAGAUACUGCUCUGACUUGGGCAUAAUAAAUGUAUGCUACCCAAAUGAGGUGGUAGAGGU
rnacentral:lncRNA from 1 species